CCUACGGGAGGCAGCAGUGGGGAAUAUUGGGCAAUGGGCGCAAGCCUGACCCAGCAACGCCGCGUGAAGGAAGACGGCCUUCGGGUUGUAAACUUCUUUUGUCAGGGACGAAGCAAGUGACGGUACCUGACUAAUAAGCUACGGCUAACUACGGGCCAGCAGCCGCGGGAAUACGUAGGUGGCAAGCGUUAUCCGGAUUUACUGGGUGUAAAGGGCGUGUAGGCGGGACUGCAAGUCAGAUGUGAAAACCACGGGCUCAACCUGUGGCCUGCAUUUGAAACUGUAGUUCUUGAGUACUGGAGAGGCAGACGGAAUUCCUGGUGUAGCGGUGAAAUGCGUAGAUAUUAGGAAGAACACCGGUGGCGAAGGCAGUCUGCUGGACAGCAACUGACGCUGAGGCGCGAAAGCGUGGGGAGCAAACAGGAUUAGAUACCCGGGUAGUC
rnacentral:rRNA from 1 species